rfam:Desulfurobacterium thermolithotrophum DSM 11699, complete genome.
GGGGGUGACUGGUUUCGACGGGGAUGCAAAGGUUCAGGUAGUGGCACGCCGAGGAGCCAACCUCGUAAAAAAGGCACCCAAGAUAGUUGCCAACGAAGAACUUGCUCUCGCUGCCUAAUUAACGCAGCGACGUCCCCCGGAGCUUAGCCCAUCGGUUCCGGGUAGGGCGCCAGAGAGAUGGGCUGGGUUACCACCUUCGCCUUCGAGGUGGUAGCCGAGAAAAGAGAAGGCUGGCUCCAGGGCGCCUGCCUGUGGGCUAACCCUGGAGUGAGAAAGCAAAACACAGGCUAAGCGUGUAGAAGCUACCUGAACCGCAUCUCCGGACGCGGGUUCGAAUCCCGCCACCUCCACCA